GAUGAACGCUGGCGGCGUGCCUAAUACAUGCAAGUCGAGCGAACAGAUAAGGAGCUUGCUCCUUUGACGUUAGCGGCGGACGGGUGAGUAACACGUGGGUAACCUACCUAUAAGACUGGGAUAACUUCGGGAAACCGGAGCUAAUACCGGAUAACAUUUGGAACCGCAUGGUUCUAAAGUGAAAGAUGGUUUUACUAUCACUUAUAGAUGGACCCGCGCCGUAUUAGCUAGUUGGUAAGGUAACGGCUUACCAAGGCGACGAUACGUAGCCGACCUGAGAGGGUGAUCGGCCACACUGGAACUGAGACACGGUCCAGACUCCUACGGGAGGCAGCAGUAGGGAAUCUUCCGCAAUGGGCGAAAGCCUGACGGAGCAACGCCGCGUGAGUGAUGAAGGGUUUCGGCUCGUAAAACUCUGUUAUUAGGGAAGAACAAAUGUGUAAGUAACUGUGCACGUCUUGACGGUACCUAAUCAGAAAGCCACGGCUAACUACGUG
rnacentral:rRNA from 1 species